rnacentral:lncRNA from 1 species
AAUCAUAUCCAACACACAAGUUUCAUCAUAUAUACAUACAUAGCCAACACAUAGUUCCGUCGUUACAUAUUACAAAAGUUUCACAUUGUUCAUCAUCCAACACCGUUAUCCAUCAAUUCACAAAAGUUUCACAUUGAUACAAAAUAAAAACACAAAUGGAAAAGAAGCACUCCAUCCAUGCAAGCUUCUGUGAAUUAAAUCAAAUCUGCAAAAUGAUAAACAAGAAGUUAGAAGAAGAAGAAGAAGAAGAAGAAGACUAGAAGAAUACUAGAAGAAGAAGAACACUAGAAGAAUACUAGAAGAAGAAUAAGAAGAAGACUAUAAGCUUAUUAGAGCUAACUUAGGUAAAAUGAAGCUAACCUAUGUCAUUUUGGAAAAGAAGAAGAAUAAGAAGAAGACUAUAAGCUUAUUAUGUAAACUUGAUCAUUUUGUGCUAACAUAAGUAAUUUUGGAGCUAACCUAUAGGAAACUAAGCAUAUAAGCUCUAAGUUAGCAUAUUAGAGCCAACUUAGGUAAAAUGAAGAUAACCUAUGUCAUUUUGGAAAAGAAGAAGAAUAAGAAGAAGACUAUAAGCUUAUUAUGUAAACUUGAUCAUUUUGUGCUAACAUAAGUAAUUUUGGAGCUAACUUAUAGAAAACUAAGCAUAUAAGCUCUAAGUUAGCAUAUUAGAGCCAACUUAGGUAAAAUGAAGCUAACCUAUGUCAUUUUCGAAAAGAAGAAGAAUAAGAAGAAGACUAUAAGCUUAUUAUGUAAACUUGAUCAUUUUGUGCUAACAUAAGUUAUUUUGGAGCUAACCUAUAGAAAACUAAGCAUAUAAGCUCUAAGUUAGCAUAUUAGAGCCAACUUAGGUAAAAUGAAGCUAACCUAUGUCAUUUUCGAAAAGAAGAAGAAUAAGAAGAAGACUAUAAGCUUAUUAUGUAAACUUGAUCAUUUUGUGCUAACAUAAGUUACUUUGGAGCUAACCUAUAGGAAACUAAGCAUAUUAGAGAUAACAUAGGUAACUAAGUAUAUAUAUAUAUAUAUCAUUUUGGAGAUCUGACAUACCUGACAUAGUUCAGUUCUCAUUGCUUCUCCUUCUCCUUCCUCAGCCUGAUGCGCCAAGAGCGGCGAGGCGGUGGAGGCAGCUGUGGGUUGUAGUCUUCUAUCACAAUUGGCGUGGUCAUGUCGCCCAGUUGUGGGAUCGCCGGCGCCACCACCGGUGCGUGGUCAUUGUCAGGCACCACCACCAUCGCGAGGCCACCUUCAGGCAGGACGGGCACGGCCAUUGCUAGGUCAUCCUCAGCCACCACCAUCUCUUCCCCAUGGUCAGCCACCACCAUCUCUUGCCCAUGGUCAGCCAUCACCAUCUCUUGCCCUUGGUCAGCCACCACCAGCGCUAGGUCAUCCUUAGCCUGAUGCCCAUCGUCAUCCUGCAGCUCCUCAUCCCCACUCUGCUCCUCUUCUCCCCCACUACAGUCCGGAUCAUCCUUCUUGUUGUCAGAAUUGCUGCUGCUUUCGCUAAAGCCAGAAUCACUAUUGCUUUUGCUACAUCCAUAAUCGCUGCUGCUUUGGCUGUAGCUAGUGUCGCUGCGGCUGCUCCCAUUGCUUGUCCAAAUGCAACAAUGAUCGUUAACAAUCGAUGUGAGACAAAGCCAAAUGUAGAGGAAUAAGAAGAGGCAGAACGCACUGGCAUCUUCGUCGUCAGCGUAGCGCAUGCGACACAUAGUCGCGUUGAAAACCUUCACGAUGAGCAUUGUGGCAUCAUCGUCGUACCUGAAGAGAAGAAAGUACCCGGUCCGCAGGUCGUAGGCACUGUAGAACUUCUCCCAGCCACGGCACAGGUACAUGUGGCCCUCCUCGAUCACCAACUCCACGUCCCACAGCCUGCGAACCCCGCUGCCGACCUGUCGGAGCUUCACAUUAUCUGGCGGAUCUUCACCCAGCAUCUUCAUAAAGUGUCAGGCAGCCUCUGCAAUUUGGGACAAUGAGUGAUGUAGCAAACAACAGAGUUAUCAUAAUGAGAUGGGUAAGGGGAGAUCUCUCGUUUUAUAUACCUGCCUCGUGGCUGAUACUGAAGAAGAAAGUAUGAUACUGAAGAACUCGAAAGCAUCCAACUCGUACUCCGGUGAGGCAGAGCGGCGGUGGCUUCUUCCCCCAUGCUUAUCCAAUCUUGCGUGCAUUUAAAGUUAUUCAAUCAGAUGCCAUAUUAUUUAUUAACAUGCUGCCAAGAAGCUUGAACAUGCCAUUAGUAAUGUCUAGCAGCAUGGUAGAAAGAAAAGAAGUUAACAUCUGAAUGUUUCCCAUGCUUAUUUAAUCAAACAUUAGUAAUGUCUAGCAGCAUGGUAGAACGAAUUCAGCCCUUAUAGGCAGAAAAACAGCAGCAACAACAAAAACAGAACAGCCAGUAGUGCAAGACAAGAUCAUUUGCACUGUCCAAAUGACCAAGACCAAUUGGAUUUUACCCAGUUAAAGCCACCACAAAUGCACAGGUGUACCUAUGCAUUUGAGCAACUAAAACUAGUUAGAAAAUGCAAUAGCUAAGCCAAUUAGAGUGCCACAAAUACAGAGAGUAGCCAAGUUAAAUUAACAGCCCAGAACCCUAGCAUAAGUUAAAUUACACACGCACUUAGAUAGCCAACAGCAUCCAAGUUAAAUUACACACACACUUAGAUAGCCAACAGCACCCACAGGAGCAUGUAUGCAGCAGGUUCAGUGAGCAAGAUGACCACCACAGAGAGCCAUCACAAAUGACCUAGAGCACAGCAACUGGCAACCCUAGAUCAAGAUAUAGCUAUCACAGAGAGCACCAAAAUUAAUUGAUGCUCAUCUGGAACAUACAUCCAGAACUAGCAGGACUACCAAAGCAUCUAAAACAUGAACUAGGGCUAGAUCAUAGAGAGAACAGAGAGAGGAAAGGAGGAGCUCACCAAGAGGGGUUGUAGCCGUAGCAGAAACUCAGCCACACCAGUGCCACGGUGUGACUACCAACACAGC